rnacentral:rRNA from 1 species
UACGUAGGGUGCAAGCGUUGUCCGGAAUUAUUGGGCGUAAAGAGCUCGUAGGCGGUCUGUCGCGUCGGCUGUGAAAUCCCGGGGCUCAACCCCGGGCCUGCAGUCGAUACGGGCAGACUAGAGUGCGGUAGGGGAGACUGGAAUUCCUGGUGUAGCGGUGAAAUGCGCAGAUAUCAGGAGGAACACCGGUGGCGAAGGCGGAUCUCUGGGCCAGUAUUGACGCUGAGGAGCGAAAGCGUGGGUAGCAAACAGG